CGUGCAGUAGCCGAUGGGUGGUUUAGGACCAGAAUAAUCUUCUUUGCCUUAAUCCCAUCCUGCUACUUUUACCUUCCCUCUGCCGCCGCUCAGCUCCCUCUGCCCACACAUCUCGCUGCUGCCGGGAGAAAACUCCUCGGGGAGCUCUGCCAGCCCCCCAGCAGCACCAGCAGGGAGAAGCAGACCCCAGGAAAGGCUCGGAAGCUAAUCUGUCACCUCCUGCUCGACCCAGUGCUAUGCCAUCAGGUGUCCUGGCGCGGGCUGCUGCUAAUGAAGGAUUCCCCCGGGGCUCUGCACGCUGGGUGCCAUGGCUCUGCUUUGUGGGACGCCACAGAUAACCCCGAGCUGGGGCUCUGUGCUCCAGGACCGCGGAGCUGCAGGCAAGCAGGUAGAGGAAAUGCUGCGGGCCGGGGGAAGUGCCCGACCGGGUGUGUAGGAAUUCAAAAAGCAAAGAACAUCAUUUUCUGAUACAGGUUUAUAAUGAAUUUUGACUUAAAAUAAUAAGCAGUAUACACAACAUACAA